AAUGAUGCAGGAAUUUUUUAGUAUAUACAUGUUACUCAUUUCAUUUCCACGUAUCCACGUGUUGAUUAGGAAUUACUGUAAAUAAUACUGCUGGAAUGAGCCUUUGCCCUUCCUUCCGUGUGGGUCAAAUAUAAAAUCCUAGGAUGCAACUCAUGCGGUUUUACAUUGUCUAGUUUUUCUAUUUCAAUGUUGUGAUUUUCAGGCCUGUAUGUUUAUCUAGUUGUCCUCUCACAUAGGUAGUAAUUUAGAUUUUAGAAGAUUCAUAGAUUGUAUCUCUCUAAUUCUUUAUUUGAAUAUAUUUGUCUCUUAUUUAUUUAUUAGUCAACUCCUCGUAGAUGAUCCAUUAACAGAUUUUUUAUUUUGUACCCAUUGUAUUUGUAUUUGCCAGAUUAAUUUGAGGCACUCCACUGAAGAUGUAUUCCAUAUGCUUGCAGUUUGAAUGACAGAAUUAACAAAGGGCAUUUCUGGGUUCUCUUUGGGGUGCGUGUCAUGAUGCCAUGGAAUAUAAUGUUUUCCUGUUAUAUUACUCGGAAAUGAGAGAGGGCUAAUUCUUUUAGUCAAUGGCUAUGUGAGAUCCUUCUCAAGAAUAAUUUGUUUUAAUUAGGCUAUUGUUUUCUCCCUCAUUACUUAUUACUUUUCCGUUCACAUUGCUGAAUGAAUGAUGUGAAGUUUUGGGGAUUGUAAAGUUGCAGUGUUCUGGCACCUGUACAUGUUUCUCUAUUUUAAUCAUGGUUUUUUUUUUCUUAAUGAAGCAUGUGUCCAUGAUACGAUUAACAUUGUUAUGGAAUGAGAAAUUCUCUUAUAAGCUCACGCUUGUUCCACUAGCAAUUAUAAUUAGUCACUUAGUGCAGUCUACAUCCGAUUUCACGCUUUAAACUUCUGAUGCCAAAUCUACUUUGGUUUGUUAUGUACUGCUUUUGUUUCCUAUAUUUAUCUGCUUUAUAUUUUUUUUGAAAUGUUAUAAUCUGUUUAUAUUUUUAAUAUCAAAGAUGCUUAAUUUGCUGAAAUCCAAAUUCUAUUGCUGUUUCCUAACUUCUGGGCUUUAUUCAUAUUUUCCGUUGCCUUCCUUGGCAAAUUUUCUGAAAUCCAAAUUGCAUCAUCCAUUUAGGCCCCUAACUGAACUGAUGAAGUCUACCACUAAUUGCCUGGUGAGGGUAUAACUUUUGAACUUGAGACUGUUUUUGUUCCAGGCCAAUAAACUCGAGUUAGUCCUUACAAAUUCUAGAACAUGGAACCCUUUUCUUGAAUUUUAUGUCUAGAAGCCUUACGACUGUGACUUGGCAGAGUUUCACUGUCUCAGUGAUUCUUCCAGUUCUUUCUUUAAAAAGUUAAUAUCAUAAAUCUUCGGAUUCUUGGGCAGAAGUUCACCAAAUGUGGGUGAAGUCUGUAACAUUCACAUUUCCUUAUCAUUUUUGCUUUUCAAUUAACCAGGAAAACUAGUCACACGGAGCCAUACAUGCUUAAUUCACAUUUCCUUAUUGUCUCUUUUCAACUAAGAAGGGCAACGUUUUGGCCGGAAAUUAAGCAUGUAUGGCUUCAUGUGACUAGUUUCUCACAUGUCUCAGAGAAACAUAUUUGAAGUUAUAGCUAAUUUGUUUGUGUAGUUUGAAUGUGCUUAUCAUAAUCCUAUUAUACUCUUUCAGAUUUGUGAGUUGCAAUCUCUAUCUCAUUUGAGUGCAAUUUCUAAGGCAUGUUUGGACUGCACGUUGCCAGAAAAACAAAAAAAAAAGAUCAGUCCUGAUCUCAAAACUUGGUCCAUCCAGCAUUCAAAAGCUUGCUGUGCAAAACAGAAAAAAUAAUGAACCUAAGCAAUGCUAGGGAGAAUAUUUUAUUGCUGCAAUGGUGAUUUACUCAACAGCACACGAAGGAAAGGAAAGAAAAUGAUGGAUCAGGUGAGGAGUUGAAGUAGGGCUAACCCAACGUGCAAGAGCUUGUCGAGGUACAUAUUUAUGUCUGAAAGGUGACUAAGGGACAUAUGCAGAGACCUGUUGGCAUCCUCACAGCUCAUUGGCAUAAGCAUGCAUUUGCCCAUAAUCUCAACCGCCCCUGUGUAGUCCUUAUGAACAUAAAAUUCAUCUGCUGUGUUUUGCAAAUCCCCAAGUGCUGAAAUGUAGUCGUCAUUACAACUGUCGAGGACCAUGUGAAGGUUUGUCUGGUUCCAGGACUCACGCCACAACUUCUGUACAUAAUUACUUGUGCUUGUUGUAUUGUCAACAGAAAAUUUUACAGCUAUGCCAACGAGUCCAACCAGAUCGGCCGUGCGGCUGCUUGGGUCCAAGCUUAUCGUGUUCACACAGAAGUCGUAAUACUCUGUGUGGUUGCAUGCAUCCUUGAGUAUCUUCGAUGGCUCUGAGGCUGCCUUACUAGAGAAGGGGUCCCUAGCGAUUGUAGGGUCUAAUAAAGAGAGGAAGAGGAGGGAGAGAGCCAUGGCUAUGGUGAAAGACAUGGUUCAGAGAGAGCUUUUUUCUUCUCUGUUUCUUGUUCUGCUCCCUUCAAGAAAGUUAUGCAAUGCAAUGUAUGUAAAUCCGUGUACUGAUCAUCCUAGUUUUAUAAAUCCUGGUUAUGGUUCUCUCAAGCAGUUUCCUAAAUCUUAUUUAGGAAAGGUGUACCGUUUAUACGCCACCUUUCCUCCAUGCAUGCCCUACUUGUUAUAAAAUUUGCAUGGAUAUCUCUCUUUCUUUAAUGAUGGAUAUGCCUCGCUUUCAUAAAAUUGAGAUUCUAAAAUUUGGCAUGGAUAUCUCUGACAUGAAUGCUUUCCGAAAAAGAGAUUUUAAAACCUACGUUAUGGGUAGGGGA
rnacentral:lncRNA from 1 species